rnacentral:rRNA from 1 species
GACAGAGGCCUCAAGCGUUAGGCGGAAUUACUGGGCGUAAAGCGUGCGCAGGCGGUGAUGUAAGACAGGUGUGAAAUCCCCGGGCUUAACCUGGGAACUGCAUUUGUGACUGCAUCGCUGGAGUGCGGCAGAGGGGGAUGGAAUUCCGCGUGUAGCAGUGAAAUGCGUAGAUAUGCGGAGGAACACCGAUGGCGAAGGCAAUCCCCUGGGCCUGCACUGACGCUCAUGCACGAAAGCGUGGGGAGC